UACCAUUAAAGUUUAUAUGUUGAACAAGAUUAUUUUGAAAGCUAAGCUGGUUACCAAAGGCGGUUAGUAUAGAAUAAUUGAUUAUCAAAUAUUUCUUUACCCCAUACGAAGAAUAUGUAUUUAGUUCUUAUCUACAAGGAAUUGUUUACUUUUUUUCUUCUUCUUUUUUUUAAAAAUUUGAAUUAGUCUUAUUUUUGUUUGAAAAAGUUUCGCGAACUAAUGUAUAACUCGCAAACCUCAGGGUGAAAAAAUGAAAAGGAACUCCAAUGAGAAGUACUAUAGAUCAAGCCAUAAAGAUUGCCAAUGAUGUGCAUCCUUCCGUGAUGUAUUCCAUUAAAACGAAAAACCUUUUACGUAAUGAACAAACGGAAUAAAAUCUAAUCAUAAAAAUUCUUUCAAACAACGGGAUUAUUCUGAAUGAUCCUGACCAAAUCGUCCACCAGGAAACUAUUGUUCUCAGACUUCGAUUGUCCCAGAGAUGUUACAUCUACAUUAAAAAGAACAAAACAUUAUACGAGCAUGAAAAUCCCAUCUCGAUAAUACAAGAUCAUAUAUCAACUGCAAGAACUGCCCAGAUGCCCAACUAAUACCAAAAUAUAUCUUUGAAUGCCCAAUUUUCACUGCUUAAAGGUUUCGUAUGCUGCCACUUCAGGAGAUCUUACGCAGCUUCUAGGGGCCAGAGCAAUCAACCGCUCCUGUAAUGGCAGCUAGAGAACAACCUUCAUUCAUGGACACGUCAACAACAACUUAUGAUCACAAUUAGUAUUCUACUGCGUUGAUCGGAUUUCAAACACAUCUACUUUUAACAGGACCACACUGUACAGUUCUUAAGGUAGUUUAAAUACAAAUAUAAUUGCUGAAAAUUAUAUUGAAAGUUUUGGUUUAGGCCUAAUGUCGAAAUCCGAAGUUUGCUUUCCUUCUAGCCAACAUAUCGAAUUUGCCAAAUAUGGAAGUCUAAGGGUGGAAACAUUUAGUCUAGGCAAGUCAAGUGAGAAAUGGUUUCCUACGCAUUUUUUACACUAAAUAGAAAACAAAACCAAGUCGAGGAGAGUAAUAGUUUUGAUUCUAUAAAGAUCCUUGGUCCUCAUUUGGAGACUCUAAAGGAAUAUGAUCUCUUUGGAAGCCGAUGAAGGAUUCAAGAAAGAAGUAGAAAUCUGAUAUUUUGUUUGCCGCACAUUUUAGUAAAUAAGUCAACCCCCUAUUUUCGAUUAGGAGAUAGCAAAUUUCUUGUAUGUUGACCGCUCAAAAAACCAGACAUUAAAAUUUCUAAAAUUAAAAAGUCUUCCAAAUUUUAAGUUAAAAAUGAUGAAAUAUUCCAAAACUUACCUUAACUUUUUUUAUUCCAAAUUUUUUUUCUAAACAUAAUUUUAAGUAUUGGUUCUAAAAAAAAACCUUUAUAUGCAAAACAAAAUCUGCGGAGAGAAAAUUGUAUAGAUAUAUAGUUUUUGUUAGAAAAAUAGUUAUUGUAUAGAAAAAUAGUUUUUGAAAGGUAUUAGAGUUAUUCUUAUUAAAUCUAUUUCAAUGCUAUAUAGACUUUAUCACCAGAAGUCAAUGCCUAGAUUUUCGUAAAAUUUGGGAUCUUGAAAAGUAGACUCAUGCACCAGGACUAACGUUAUUUGUUUUUGGAGGGUAUAUUACAUUAUAGGAAAAGUUGGUAUUGUUUUUUAUCCUCUUAUAAAGAGAAGUUAGAAUAUUCAGCUUUUCCAUGACUGAAACUAUAUUGGUGAAAUAUACCACAAAAGCGUAAGUCCUCACUUGGACAAAG